UACGUAGGGUGCAAGCGUUGUCCGGAAUUAUUGGGCGUAAAGAGCUCGUAGGCGGUUUGGUAAGUCUGGUGUGAAAUCUCCACGCUCAACGUGGAGGGGCCACCCGAUACUGCCAUGACUGGAGUCCGGUAGAGGAGUGUGGAAUUCCCGGUGUAGCGGUGAAAUGCGCAGAUAUCGGGAGGAACACCCGUAGCGAAGGCGGCACUCUGGGCCGGUACUGACGCUGAGGAGCGAAGCGUGGGAGCAAACAGG
rnacentral:rRNA from 1 species